rnacentral:lncRNA from 11 species
CUUUCAGGAUUUAUACCGAGAAUCCAUCCUGAAUCUGGACUACCUGCAGCUAGAAAGAUUGUGGUCUGGGGAUCCCAUAAUGGACCACCUUGUCUUCAUGCUGAAGGUAAGUAUUAAAGAGGAGACCCACUCAUUUUCCAUUUAAAAACCCAAAGGGGUCUCCCUCGGGGAAGUUGGUCAGGCAAUCAGUUGGGAGCUACACAGGCCCUAAACUUCUGCUUCCUUCCACAGCACAUCCAUUUCUGGUUAGAGGUAGCCAGCAAUCAAUAUCAAGCCAGGGCCAUUGACUGUGCCUCCCACCUAAUUCAUUUUGCCUGCAGUUGCAUGAGCCUUGAGUGUGUCUAUCUGGAUCAAGAUCACCAAAGCCCCUCUGCUGCCUUCCUUGCCAAGCACUCUCGGGCAAAUUCUAGCCUGUGAAGUCACUUGCUCUGCGAUCAGAUUGAAGCAUCCAGCAAUGCAACCAAUGCUCAGCAGAGGAGACACAAUUUAUUUGGCCUUUCCUACAUGAGGACGGCAAUCUAUCACCUCACAGUUAAUCUCAUUCAUGGCUGGGUUGAGCUGGGCAGUGGGUGGUAACCCUAAAUAGAAGAAGAGAAAAAAGUGGGCACGAUCUGAAUUUGAGCAGAGGGAUUUGAGGCAAACCCAGGGCAGAUUAUUCCGAUAUUUCAAAUGGCUUAUUUUGCUGGUGUAGAAAACUCCAUAAUUAGGAUUAGGGCGUGUCCGACUGGGGAACAGAUUCCUUUUGCUUUUCCUUUUGUAAAAAUCUUCAAAAAUAUGUAAUGCCAAUAAAAAGGCUCCCCCCAGCCUCAGCACUUUAAAAAAAGAUCCCUUGGAAGCUUCAGUUUUGUAAAGCUACAGCUCUGAACUCGCACUCGUCAAAAGCUCCUUGGACUGCAUUGAUUUAAAUAAAUGGUGUUGCCAUUCACUUCAG